rnacentral:rRNA from 1 species
AAAGCGUGCGCAGGCGGUUAUGCAAGACAGAGGUGAAAUCCCCGGGCUCAACCUGGGAACUGCCUUUGUGACUGCAUAGCUAGAGUACGGUAGAGGGGGAUGGAAUUCCGCGUGUAGCAGUGAAAUGCGUAGAUAUGCGGAGGAACACCGAUGGCGAAGGCAAUCCCCUGGACCUGUACUGACGCUCAUGCACGAAAGCGUGGGGAGCAAACAGGAUUAGAUACCCGGGU